rnacentral:rRNA from 1 species
CCUACGGGUGGCAGCAGUGAGGAAUAUUGGUCAAUGGACGAGAGUCUGAACAAGCCAAGUAGCGUGAAGGAUGACUUCCCUAUGGGUUGUAAACUUCUUUUAUAUGGGAAUAAAAUGUUCCACGUGUGGGAUUUUGUAUGUACCAUAUGAAUAAGGAUCGGCUAACUCCGUGCCAGCAGCCGCGGUAAUACGGAGGAUCCGAGCGUUAUCCGGAUUUAUUGGGUUUAAAGGGAGCGUAGGUGGAUUGUUAAGUCAGUUGUGAAAGUUGGCGGCUCAACCGUAAAAUUGCAGUUGAAACUGGCAGUCUUGAGUACGGUAGAGGUGGGCGGAAUUCGUGGUGUAGCGGUGAAAUGCUUAGAUAUCACGAAGAACUCCGAUUGCGAAGGCAGUUCACUGGACUGCAACUGACACUGAGGCUCGAAAGUGUGGGUAUCAAACAGGAUUAGAUACCCCUGUAGUC